rnacentral:rRNA from 1 species
GAAUACUGGUCAAUGGUCGAAAGCCUGAUCAAGCAACCCCGCGUGGGUGAAGAAGGUCUUCGGAUUGUAAAGCACCUUAUGUUGGGAGGAAGGGCAGUGCGCGAAUACAUUCCUUUUUUGACUUUACACAAAGAAAACGACCCGGCCACCCCUUCGCCCGCCGCCGCGGUAAUACAGACGGUGCAAGCGUUACUCGGAAUUACUGCGCGUAAAGCGCGCGGAGGGUGUUCGUUAAGUUAGAUGUGAAAUCCCCGGGCUCAACCAGGGAACUGCAUCCAAAACUGGCGAGCUAGAGUAGGGCAGAGGGUGGUGGAAUUUCCUGUGGAGCGGUGAAAUGCGUAGAUAUAGGAAGGAACACCAGUGGCGAAGGCGACCACCUGGGCUCAUACUGACACUGAGGUGCGAAAGCGUGGGGAGCAAACA